ensembl:lncRNA
CCAGCUAGAUCUACUGUCUCUAUUUCAUUAUGACAGACCAGCUAGAUCUACUCUCUCUAUUAUAAUAUGACAGACCAGCUAGAUCUACUGUCUCUAUUAUAUUAUGACAGACCAGCUAGAUCUAAUUUCUCUAUUAUAUUAUGACAGACCAGCUAGAUCUACUGUCUCUAUUAUAAUAUGACAGACCAGCUAGAUCUACUGUCACAAUUAUAGUAUGACAGACCAGCUAGAUCUACUGUCUCUAUUAUAUUAUGACAGACCAGCUAGAUCUAAUUUCUCUAUUAUAUUAUGACAGACCAGCUAGAUCUACUGUCUCUAUUAUAUUAUGACAGACCAGCUAGAUCUACUGUCUCUAUUAUAAUAUGACAGACCAG